GACGAACGCUGGCGGCGUGCUUAACACAUGCAAGUCGAACGGAAAGGCCCUGCUUUUGUGGGGUGCUCGAGUGGCGAACGGGUGAGUAACACGUGAGUAACCUGCCCUUGACUUUGGGAUAACUUCAGGAAACUGGGGCUAAUACCGGAUAGGAGCUCCUGCUGCAUGGUGGGGGUUGGAAAGUUUCGGCGGUUGGGGAUGGACUCGCGGCUUAUCAGCUUGUUGGUGGGGUAGUGGCUUACCAAGGCUUUGACGGGUAGCCGGCCUGAGAGGGUGACCGGCCCCAUUGGGACUGGGACAAGGCCCCCACCCCCUCGGGGGGCAGCAGUGGGGGAAAUUGCACAAUGGGCGGAAGCCUGGUGCAGCAAACCCCGGUUGGGGAUGAAGGCCCUCGGGGUUGAAACCGCUUUCCCCCUUGACCAAGGGGGAGUGACGGUAAUUGGUAAAAAAGCAACGGCUAACUACGUG
rnacentral:rRNA from 1 species